UUACUGGAGUGGCUGGCGCUUGUGCCAUUAACUAUCCUGUGUUUGCGUCUCAAAGAUGUUUACAAGACACAGUUUCAUAGACUUAAGGAAUGGCGAGCCACCGGCAGUCUGAGUAGAUUAGGGGUGGCUCCAGAUGUUCAUGGACUACAAUUCCCUGGCAGGGGCUGAUGGGAAUUGUAGUCCAGGAACAUCUGGAGCACCAUAGGUUGGCCACCCUUGGAGUAGAUAGUACUGACUUUGAAAGACCAGUGGUCUCAUUCAAUGGUGGUCUUGCAGAUAGUCCCUUUAACUGAUUCCAGAUGUAGCCCGCCAGUGUUCAUGUUUUCUGUACAAAAGGUAAACACACUAAUACUGGGCAUGUCCUUUAUUACUGUCUGUCACAAAAUGUCCUACUCUCAUGUGUGCAAUUCUUUUUUUCCUUCUAGAAAUUCAAAAGCUUGUUGAUUCAGGAGCUGGAUGUACGUUCCCGGAGGACAUGGCCAAGUACAAAGCUAUUCGAGGCGAAGAUCCUUCUCCUUGAGAGAGAAUUAUGUUUUCCACCAUGGUACAUUUUGUUCUCUGGAAAGAACUGCAGAUAGGCUGCUGUGACAAUAUUGACUUGCCCAGAGGACUGAAGAAAUCAGACUUUUCUGCUGGGUGACGUUAUGCGAAAUGUUUUGUCCCUUGGCCAGAGAGCAGGCGGAUUCCCGUGGUGGAUAAUGACUUCAAGACUCUUGGUUCUGGCAGCUGCCUUCUCAUCCUGCCUCUCAGCUCUGUUUUUGUAAUAUGGGGUUCAAAUGUUUCAACAUAACGUGGCCAGCGUGGGAUGGGGAAAGCAGCCCGUUGUUCUUGCAGCCAACUCCAAAAAAAGAGGCAGAAGAAAUGUCCCUGCUUGUUGUCUCUGUCUAAAAAUUAAAGGGCUUGUUUUGUCUUAUGUCUUUGUCAAGGCUUCACGUUGAUCUAAUCUGGUUGUGUGGUGGGUUUUCCCGCUGUAAGUCAGUGGUCUGGCGAAACGUUAGGAAUAAGAUCCACCACUCAGCCUGGAAAACCCACCACCACCAGUUGUUUUGUUUGAUGGCACUGAAGGGCAGCUAGAGUAGAAUUUGUUUAGUUGAUUCUGUACGAAUGAACAAGCCAAAAUGUUUGAAGCACUGUAUAGGAGAAACUUUCUAGCAUUCUCAAUUUUAUAUUUAUGGUAGCAGUCGCCUUUCCAGUAUUCGGAGACUGCAGUUUACUUUACAAUGUUGUUGGGUUAACUUACAUAGUAAAGGUCUUGAAAGAG